rnacentral:rRNA from 1 species
UGGCUCAGAACGAACGCUGGCGGCAGGCUUAACACAUGCAAGUCGAGCGCCUCGCAAGAGGAGCGGCAGACGGGUGAGUAACGCGUGGGAAUCUACCCAUCUCUACGGAACAACUCCGGGAAACUGGAGCUAAUACCGUAUACGUCCUUCGGGAGAAAGAUUUAUCGGAGAUGGAUGAGCCCGCGUUGGAUUAGCUAGUUGGUGGGGUAAUGGCCUACCAAGGCGACGAUCCAUAGCUGGUCUGAGAGGAUGAUCAGCCACAUUGGGACUGAGACACGGCCCAAACUCCUACGGGAGGCAGCAGUGGGGAAUAUUGGACAAUGGGCGCAAGCCUGAUCCAGCCAUGCCGCGUGAGUGAUGAAGGCCCUAGGGUUGUAAAGCUCUUUCAACGGUGAAGAUAAUGACGGUAACCGUAGAAGAAGCCCCGGCUAACUUCGUGCCAGCCG